rnacentral:misc_RNA from 1 species
UACGGAGGGGGCGAGCGUUGUUCGGAAUUACUGGGCGUAAAGGGCGCGUAGGCGGCGUGCCAAGUCGGAUGUGAAAGCCCCGGGCUCAACCCGGGAGGUGCAUUCGAUACUGGCAGGCUCGAGUCCGGGAGAGGAUGGCGGAAUUCCCAGUGUAGAGGUGAAAUUCGUAGAUAUUGGGAAGAACACCGGUGGCGAAGGCGGCCAUCUGGACCGGUACUGACGCUGAGGCGCGAAAGCGUGGGGAGCAAACAGG